CCACACGUGGUUCAUUCAUACCAUCCCACGUAAAAAAACUAGGAGGAA
rnacentral:ncRNA from 12 species